rnacentral:rRNA from 1 species
ACUUCACGCGUUAGCUUCGUUACUGAGAAAGUGAAUUCCCAACAACCAGUUGACAUCGUUUAGGGCGUGGACUACCAGGGUAUCUAAUCCGUGUUUGCUCCCCACGCUUUCGUGCAUGAGCGUCAGUGCAGGCCCAGGGGAUUGCCUUCGCCAUCGGUGUUCCUCCGCAUAUCUACGCAUUUCACUGCUACACGCGGAAUUCCAUCCCCCUCUGCCGCACUCUAGCUUUGCAGUCACAAAGGCAGUUCCCAGGUUGAGCCCGGGGAUUUCACAUCUGUCUUACAAAACCGCCUGCGCACGCUUUACGCCCAGUAAUUCCGAUUAACGCUUGCACCCUACGUAUUACCGCGGCUGCUGGCACGUAAUUAGCCGGUGCUUAUUCUUACGGUACCGUCAUGAACCCCCGGUAUUAACCAAAGUCUUUUCGUUCCGUACAAAAGCAGUUUACAACCCGAAGGCCUUCAUCCUGCACGCGGCAUGGCUGGAUCAGGCUUUCGCCCAUUGUCCAAAAUUCCCCACUGCUGCCUCCCGUA